rnacentral:rRNA from 1 species
CCUACGGGAGGCAGUAGUGGGGAAUCUUGCGCAAUGGGCGAAAGCCUGACGCAGCAACGCCGCGUGCGGGAAGAAGGCUUUCGGGCUGUAAACCGCUUUCAGCAGGAACGAAAAUGACGGUACCUGCAGAAGAAGGAGCGGCCAACUAUGUGCCAGCAGCCGCGGUGAUACAUAGGCUUCAAGCGUUGUCCGGAUUUAUUGGGCGUAAAGAGUUCGUAGGCGGUCGAGUAAGUCGGGUGUGAAAAUUCUGGGCUCAACCCAGAGACGCCACCCGAUACUGCUUGACUUGAGUUCGAUAGGGGAGUGGGGAAUUCCUAGUGUAGCGGUGAAAUGCGCAGAUAUUAGGAGGAACACCGGUGGCGAAGGCGCCACUCUGGAUCGAUACUGACGCUGAGGAACGAAAGCAUGGGUAGCAAACAGGAUUAGAUACCCUGGUAGUCCAUGCCGUAAACGGUGGGCACUAGGUGUGGGUUUCUAUUAACGAAAUCCGCGCCGUCGCUAACGCAUUAAGUGCCCCGCCUGGGGAGUACGGUCGCAAGCUAAAACCUUAAGGAAUUGACGG